UACGGGGGGGCAAGCGUUGUUCGGAAUUACUGGGCGUAAAGGGCUCGUAGGCGGCCAACUAAGUCAGACGUGAAAUCCCCAGGCUCAACCUGGGAACUGCGUCUGAUACUGGAUGGCUUGAAUCCGGGAGAGGGAUGCAGAAUUCCAGGUGUAGCGGUGAAAUGCGUAGAUAUCUGGAGGAACACCGGUGGCGAAGGCGGCAUCCUGGACCGGCAUUGACGCUGAACAGCGAAAGCCAGGGGAGCAAACGGG
rnacentral:rRNA from 1 species